rnacentral:lncRNA from 1 species
AUGUGGCUCACGCUGCUCUUCUUGGUACUCUCUCUCCCUUUUUAUGAUCAUGAGCAGGAUCUGUCAAGGAGGACUUUGCAGAGUUUGCAGGACCACUCAAAUUUCCUCUCCACUGAAGGAGAUGAAGAGGAGAUUUCUGAGGAAGCAAAGAGACUAGAAUCCAGAUUUGGACCCCAGUAUCAUAACACAGCCCUACAGAACUACAGUGGGGAACAGCCUUUGAAUGUGUCUGACAACGCUGAUUUGAUUCAAGGAAACACAGCUGAAGAAACCAGUAAAGAAGAUUUAAAAGAGACUGCAAUUCUUGCUGUGUCAUCUAUAGCUCUUGCCAUCUACCUAAUAUUUCUGGUUUGUUUUUGUGUGGCUUUUAGAAAAUGCAGAAUGCAAAAAGGGAAUACCUGUCAUACCUUUGGACGCUCAUCUGAACAGCAGAGAUCGGCAGAGGGUGGGAUGAAUGCGGACAGCUCACACAAGAAAUCCUCAGACUCAGAAACUGUGCCUCUUAUGAACUCGGUUGAUGAGCUAUUCACUGCUGUUGCAUCAAAUCGCAGUAGAACCUCUUUGUCUGAAGACUCAAAUUAA